UGAGCAAUUUUUCUAGAAGUGCAAAUUAACUUUUGGUCCUUAGCAAGAGACCUAAAAUUUUCCUUCUUCCAUUUUUCUCAUCAUCGACGCCACCUCCCUCUCCCCCUGCACUUUCUAUUUCCGGUCACUGCCUUUGCCGCCCCUCUGUCCCUCGCCUAUGGGGAGCUACCCUCGACGUUGCUAGCCCAUUGCCGUUGUUUGUGCCGCCUUCUACAGUCGAGGGAGAGCUACUCGAGAGGAGGAAGCUUCAUUCCUCGCUGUCACCACUAAAAUAACCACAUGACGUUGUCUUUCCCUUAUUUGACACUGGAUUUGAGUUCCUCACCCUCCAAACCUAUAAGCAGGUCCUCCUUGCCAUUGAUCAAUCAUUUUCUAGCUCCUCUAAGCCUCAUCGGAAUCGAAGCUUUUCGACCUCGAUCCGUGGCUUCCGGUGAGUUUCAGGCCAAGACAUCUACAUUUCUUAACUCAUCACAGGUCAAGCUUCAUAUAGGCAUCUCCGGAUUCAAAAUCCAACACUGUUGGCAGUACCGGCUUUCGGACUUUGGUGUUUAACGAACGUGCAAAAGUUAUGGACCUAUUAUACGAGGGUAAAUGUUUAUAUUUUAUGGGAGGUUCAGCCAAAUUUUUGUUCGAAUUUCCGAGUCGGAAUUUCUUUAGGCGGUCUAAUAUAGGAGACUAGGCCUAGAAAAAAUUAUGAAUAUUUUAUUAAUUCAAUUAUUUUCGAGAACAGAUAAUCCGUCAGUCUAGCUAGCUUCACCCAAGGCGUAGGAGCAGACAACGGAACACGCAAAAUUAUGACAACUAGGUUUUUACCGACUUUCUCUUGACAACCCGAUUUCUUUCCUCUUCGAGCCUAUUGUAAUUAACUAUUUUCUUUUACAUUUCAAAUUAUUUGAAAUUCUAGAUUCUCCACAGUAAACCUGAAAUUUUAUAUUUUA